AUGCACGCUGGCGGCGUGCCUAAUACAUGCACGUCGAGCGAACGGACGAGAAGCUUGCUUCUCUGAUGUUAGCGGCGGACGGGUGAGUAACACGUGGAUAACCUACCUAUAAGACUGGGAUAACUUCGGGAAACCGGAGCUAAUACCGGAUGAUAUUUUGAACCGCAUGGUUCAAAAGUGAAAGACGGUCUUGCUGUCACUUAUAGAUGGAUCCGCGCUGCAUUAGCUAGUUGGUAAGGUAACGGCUUACCAAGGCAACGAUGCAUAGCCGACCUGAGAGGGUGAUCGGCCACACUGGAACUGAGACACGGUCCAGACUCCUACGGGAGGCAGCAGUAGGGAAUCUUCCGCAAUGGGCGAAAGCCUGACGGAGCAACGCCGCGUGAGUGAUGAAGGUCUUCGGAUCGUAAAACUCUGUUAUUAGGGAAGAACAUAUGUGUAAGUAACUGUGCACAUCUUGACGGUACCUAAUCAGAAAGCCACGGCUAACUACGUG
rnacentral:rRNA from 1 species